UGGGUCACUCAGUCAAUUAAGCAUCUGCCUUCAGCUCAGGUCAUGAUCCCAGGAGGGUCCUGGGAUCAAGUCCCAUGUUAGGCUCCCUGCUGCUUCUCUCUCUCCCUCUGACAUUCCCCUCGCUUAUGUUCUCUGGGUCUUUCUAUCUCUCUGUCAAAUAAAUAAGUUAAAUCUUUAGGAAAAAAAAAGAAAAAGCACAAGUAUGCUGAGAUGAGCUUGGGAAGGCCCCUACUCAUCAAGGCAGGCUCAGAAGCCUUGAUGGGUGCUGGAACUCUUAAUCUAUGGGAACUGCACACUCAAAACCACCCAAAGCCUUACUCUUCAGAUGGAACAUGGUAAUAGCUCCUGGGGGUCCCACCCCCACCAGGCUAAGAUCAUGCCCCUGAAUGGGGCUCACAGACCCUGCACUGUUCUUGGUAGUUUGUUUGGGUAGCAGAAUUCAAAUCCUAGUUUUUGGAAGGACUUUACUGGUUAUCACUAACAUUUUCCAUCUUUGGAAGCAGAGACCCCAGCCUGGAAGAGACUUAGUCCAAGCUCUCAGCUCAGUAGUAGCUUUGUUGAAUCAUACUACUUCCACCCAGACCAGCAGAAUCAAAGUCAGAGCCCCUGGCAGCCAGGCCAAGCCUGAUAGCAGGGGCAGAGAAGCAGCUAGCUUCCUGUGGCCGAUUAGAAGCAUUUUUGCUGACAACGGUUCCUGCUAACCGUUUCUUCCCUGUUGAAGAAAAUCUUGGUAUAGCUUUGAGGUAGUAGUUUAGACUACCAUAUUCUGGAUACAGUCUUUCCGGCUUUGGACAGGUUUUAUUCUGUCCCUGAGUCCCUGAAACUCGGAUGUGUACUGAGGCAACAGCACAAUGCAAUCUAGGCAGGGACUCAGAAGCAGUGUCCAUGGCUGCACAGAAAGAGGUCACCCCCUCCUCUGUUCAGGAGGAUGAGCAUGGCCAAUUCCACUGUGCUUGGGGUGGGCAGUGGAGCAGGUAGGUGGCUGCCAGCCAUCUGGAACCAGGAAAUGGUGCCCAGCGCAGUGCCAAAUCAAAGUUCCCAGGAAGGGCUUAGCUGAGAGAAGUCUUGGGGCAAAGGUGAGUUCUACGCUGGAUUUAUAAACUUUAUAUCCUCCCAGGGCAGGAAAGGAAAGAGGAAGCGGGGGUGACCCAUAGGGACUGACAUGCUUUUCUGCCAAACAGGAUUUUCCCAGACCCUGGUCUCUGCCCUGCUUUUACAUGAGUAUGUAGACUGGCUUGGGAAUCUGUCACUUCCUGAGUAGGGAGGCGUCAGUUCAUUCUAGGGCUGCACUGUCCCACAGAUCGUCACUAUUAGCCACAUUGAGUUUUAAAUUGAAAAUAUUAAAUAAAAUCCAGAGCUCAGUCCUCCAUCACACAAGCCACAUCUCAAGGGCCAGAAGUGGCCAGUGGCCCUGAGUUAGUGCAAAUGUACAUGUCCAUCAUCACAAAAAGAGCUUCGGGAAUGUGCUCGUUCUUCCUAGGUGACGACUCCGCAGGCGCCCUUUCCGGCAUUUCCGGGAAUGCUGCUCUGAAAGCCUCUGAGGAGACUUGAGGUGUCUCAGGCACAGUGGUCCAGGGCAUGGGCACCAGCAUUGCUCCUCUUGCCUUUGUUCUCAGUGUAGCAGUAAAAUAGGUCAGCAGGGAAGCAGCCAGUGUGUUUCUCAAGUGCAGCUGAUGACAGGUCUGGAAGCACAAAAUCAUGGUCUGACUUAAAGAAUGCUUUGCCUUUGGGGGAAGAAAACCCACAGAUUAACAAGAAUUAGACCAACAACUUGGUAGAAAAAUGGGGCAAGGAUAUGAACAGACUGUUCACAGAAAGAGGAGCCCAGAAAACCAAUAGCAAUAAUAACAUGAAGGAGGGAAAUUGUGUGACUGAGACCAGGGGUAGGAGGGAAACUUUUCUCCUUGACAGCAUUUGAAUGUUAAGCCAUAUGAAUGGAUGUAGUGCUUGUUU